UACGGAGGGUGCAAGCGUUACUCGGAAUCACUGGGCGUAAAGGACGCGUAGGCGGAUUAUCAAGUCUCUUGUGAAAUCUAACGGCUUAACCGUUAAACUGCUUGGGAAACUGAUAAUCUAGAGUAAGGGAGAGGCAGAUGGAAUUCUUGGUGUAGGGGUAAAAUCCGUAGAGAUCAAGAAGAAUACCCAUUGCGAAAGCGAUCUGCUGGAACUUAACUGACGCCAAUGCGUGAAAGCGUGGGGAGCAAACAGGAUUAGAUACCCUAGUAGUCCACGCCCUAAACGAUGUAUACUAGUUGUUGCUUCGCUAGUCGAGGCAGUAAUGCACCUAACGGAUUAAGUAUACCGCCUGGGGAGUACGGUCGCAAGAUUAAAACUCAAAGGAAUAGACGGGGACCCGCACAAGCGGUGGAGCAUGUGGUUUAAUUCGAAGAUACGCGAAGAACCUUACCCGGACUUGAUAUCUAACAAAUCAUCCAGAGAUGGAAGAGUGUCUGCUUGCAGAAAUGUUAAGACAGGUGCUGCACGGCUGUCGUCAGCUCGUGUCGUGAGAUGUUNG
rnacentral:rRNA from 1 species